UGCAUUACGUUGUGUUGCGUCUUGUUGUGAUUCAAUUUCAUUUUUUUCAUCUAUAUCAUUUAUGAAUUCAAUGAACACACAUUAUUUAAACGUUCUAUGUGCGACUAUUUGUCGGGGCGCCCCUGUUUGUGACCCCCGCGCGCGCGCGCCGAAUGUAAACAGUAACGAACGGCAUUGUAGGAAAGAGAGAGCCGUAAUGCAGAAGAGAAGUUGUGUAUUCUUUCGGUGUACACAUGCAUUUUCAAUUUGCUGUGAAACAUAUGAACAUGCACAGGGAACAAUACUACAUAUUUGUUUAAGGAGGAUAUUUUUCUCGUGUGAAUCGUUUACAAGGAAAUUCUGACAGCCACACUUCUGUCGACGAUCAGCCGUUGAUAAGCUACGAGUAAUAAAGGAGAAAAGAUGGACAUUAAAGUGUGUGAUUUAUGUGGAUGUUACUGAAGAAGCUCAAAACAGACUCUUGUUACCACAUGGCUUUUACCGGUACCUGUUGAUUCUUGUGGGUCAGCUCCUGAGAUUAACCUGUCACCUCUAUCCACAUGCAUAUUCCUUGUGUUCUACAGACUAUUUACUGGUAAUUCAAAUUAAAUCCCAUAAUGCAUGAACAAUAAUGGAACUUGAAGAAAGCAUCAUGCCAUGUUGUGGUUUGUGUUUGAUAAGAAAUUAUGAAAACAAAAUUAAGGCUGUUUAAAGAAAUUCAUAAUUGCUGUGAAAAUUUGUUUUUCAAUAAAAGUAUACAAUUA